rnacentral:rRNA from 1 species
UACGUAGGGUGCAAGCGUUAAUCGGAAUUACUGGGCGUAAAGCGUGCGCAGGCGGCUUUGCAAGACAGAUGUGAAAUCCCCGGGCUUAACCUGGGAACUGCAUUUGUGACUUCAAGGCUGGAGUGCGGCAGAGGGGGAUGGAAUUCCGCGUGUAGCAGUGAAAUGCGUAGAUAUGCGGAGGAACACCGAUGGCGAAGGCAAUCCCCUGGGCCUGCACUGACGCUCAUGCACGAAAGCGUGGGGAGCAAACAGG